rnacentral:rRNA from 1 species
UUGCUGCUUCGCUGACGAGUGGCGGACGGGUGAGUAAUGUCUGGGAAACUGCCUGAUGGAGGGGGAUAACUACUGGAAACGGUAGCUAAUACCGCAUAACGUCGCAAGACCAAAGAGGGGGACCUUCGGGCCUCUUGCCAUCGGAUGUGCCCAGAUGGGAUUAGCUAGUAGGUGGGGUAACGGCUCACCUAGGCGACGAUCCCUAGCUGGUCUGAGAGGAUGACCAGCCACACUGGAACUGAGACACGGUCCAGACUCCUACGGGAGGCAGCAGUGGGGAAUAUUGCACAAUGGGCGCAAGCCUGAUGCAGCCAUGCCGCGUGUAUGAAGAAGGCCUUCGGGUUGUAAAGUACUUUCAGCGGGGAGGAAGGCGAUGAGGUUAAUAACCUUGUCGAUUGACGUUACCCGCAGAAGAAGCACCGGCUAACUCCGUGCCAGCAGCCGCGGUAAUACGGAGGGUGCAAGCGUUAAUCGGAAUUACUGGGCGUAAAGCGCACGCAGGCGGUCUGUCAAGUCGGAUGUGAAAUCCCCGGGCUCAACCUGGGA